UACGAAGGGGGCUAGCGUUGUUCGGAAUCACUGGGCGUAAAGGGCGCGUAGGCGGCUUUUUAAGUCGGGGGUGAAAGCCUGUGGCUCAACCACAGAAUUGCCUUCGAUACUGUUUGGCUUGAGACCGGAAGAGGUUAGCGGAACUGCGAGUGUAGAGGUGAAAUUCGUAGAUAUUCGGAAGAACACCAGUGGCGAAGGCGGCUCACUGGACUGGUAUUGACGCUGAGGUGCGAAAGCGUGGGGAGCAAACAGG
rnacentral:rRNA from 1 species